rnacentral:rRNA from 1 species
AGAGUUUGAUCAUGGCUCAGGACGAACGCUGGCGGCGUGCUUAACACAUGCAAGUCGAACGGAAAGGCCCUUCGGGGUACUCGAGUGGCGAACGGGUGAGUAACACGUGGGUGAUCUGCCCUGCACUUUGGGAUAAGCCUGGGAAACUGGGUCUAAUACCGAAUAGGACCACGCGCUUCAUGGUGUGUGGUGGAAAGCUUUUGCGGUGUGGGAUGGGCCCGCGGCCUAUCAGCUUGUUGGUGGGGUAAUGGCCUACCAAGGCGACGACGGGUAGCCGGCCUGAGAGGGUGACCGGCCACACUGGGACUGAGAUACGGCCCAGACUCCUACGGGAGGCAGCAGUGGGGAAUAUUGCACAAUGGGCGCAAGCCUGAUGCAGCGACGCCGCGUGAGGGAUGACGGCCUUCGGGUUGUAAACCUCUUUCAAUAGGGACGAAGCGCAAGUGACGGUACCUAUAGAAGAAGCACCGGCCAACUACGUGCCAGCAGCCGCGGUAAUACGUAGGGUGCGAGCGUUGUCCGGAAUUACUGGGCGUAAAGAGCUCGUAGGUGGUUUGUCGCGUUGUUCGUGAAAACUCACAGCUUAACUGUGGGCGUGCGGGCGAUACGGGCAGACUAGAGUACUGCAGGGGAGACUGGAAUUCCUGGUGUAGCGGUGGAAUGCGCAGGUAUCAGGAGGAACACCGGUGGCGAAGGCGGGUCUCUGGGCAGUAACUGACGCUGAGGAGCGAAAGCGUGGGGAGCGAACAGGAUUAGAUACCCUGGUAGUCCAA